AUUGAACGCUGGCGGCAGGCUUAACACAUGCAAGUCGAGCGGUAACAGAGAGAAGCUUGCUUCUCUGCUGACGAGCGGCGGACGGGUGCGUAAUGCCUAGGAAUCUGCCUAGUAGGGGGGGAUAACUUGCCGAAAGGUAAGCUAAUACCGCAUACGUCCUACGGGAGAAAGGAGGGGACCUUCGGGCCGUUCGCUCUUAGGAGGGCCUAGGUCGGAUUAGUUAGUUGGUGAGGUAAUGGCUUACCAAGACCGCGAUCCGUAACUGGUCUGAGAGGAUGAUCAGUCACACUGGAACUGAGACACAGUCCAGACUCCUACGGGAGGCAGCAGUGGGGAAUAUUGGACAAUGGGGGGAACCCUGAUCCAGCCAUGCCGCGUGUGUGAAGAAGGUCUUAGGAUUGUAAAGCACUUUAAGUUGGGAGGAAGAGCAGUUAACUAAUAUUUGACUGUUUUGACGUUACCGACAGAAUAAGCACCGGCUAACUUCGUGCCAGCAGCCGCGGUAA
rnacentral:rRNA from 1 species